AGAACGAACGCUGGCUCCAGGCCUAACACAUGCAAGUCGAGCGCCCCGCAAGGGGAGCGGCAGACGGGAGAGUAACACGUGGGAACGUACCCUUUGGUUCGGAACAACCCAGGGAAACUUGGGCUAAUACCGGAUAAGCCCUUACGGGGAAAGAUUUAUCGCCGAAGGAUCGGCCCGCGUCUGAUUAGCUAGUUGGUGGGGUAAUGGCCCACCAAGGCGACGAUCAGUAGCUGGUCUGAGAGGAUGAUCAGCCUCACUGGGACUGAGACACGGCCCAGACUCCUACGGGAGGCAGCAGUGGG
rnacentral:rRNA from 1 species